rnacentral:lncRNA from 1 species
AGAAAAAUUGGUGAAGGAGUUGUAGUCAGUGUUGUUGAAACUUGCUUCCUUUGGGAUCAUAAGGUUUUGGUGAUGAUGAUGAAAAGAAGACACCAUUGAAGGCUUCAAUUUUCUCUGGAUCACAAUGGAUUCUUCAAUCACAUUGAAGUUGUUAUCUCUAGGUGCUUCGCUACUAUGAGGGUGAGACUGAAUCAUCUUAUUAGGUGAUCUUGCACAAUCCUCAAGUUGAAUAGGUGAUCUCAAUUGUUGGAAGGUUUCAAUAUUAUUUUCAGUUAUUGCAGUGCACUUUUUCUUCAAGUCUUGCACUUACAUUACCCUCCCAUUAUUGCCGGUAGUGUUGCUCAUCUUGUUACUAGUCAUCUAGUAGUAUUGCUCUUUCUCUUGCUUUCUCCCUUGACUCCUUCAUCUUUGUGCGAAC